GCAAGUCGAGCGGGGUAGCAAUACCUAGCGGCAGACGGGUGCGUAACAUGUGGGAAUCUGCCUUUUGGUUCGGAACAACAUGGGGAAACCUGUGCUAAUACCGGAUAAGUCCUAACGGAGAAAGUUUUAAUGCCAAAAGAUGAGCCCGCAUUUGAUUAGCUUGUUGGUGAGGUAAUGGCUCACCAAGACUACAAUCAAUAGCUGAUUUGAGAGGAUGAUC
rnacentral:rRNA from 1 species